rnacentral:rRNA from 1 species
UACGGAGGGUGCGAGCGUUGUCCGGAAUCACUGGGCGUAAAGGGCGCGUAGGUGGCGCGGGCAGUCAACGGUGAAAGUUCGGGGCUCAACCCUGAAUCGGCCGUCGAUACUCCCGUGCUUGAGCACUGUAGAGGCAGACGGAAUUCCGGGUGUAGCGGUGGAAUGCGUAGAGAUCCGGAGGAAGACCGGUGGCGAAGGCGGUCUGCUGGGCAGUUUCUGACACUGAGGCGCGACAGCGUGGGGAGCAAACAGG